rnacentral:rRNA from 1 species
GGCUCAGGACGACGCUGGCGGCGUGCUUAACACAUGCAAGUCGAACGGAGGCUUUCCUCGGGGGAAGCCUUAGUGGCGGACGGGUGAGUAACGCGUGAGCAAUCUGCCUUGCACAGGGGGAUAACAACUGGAAACGGUUGCUAAUACCGCAUAACGUAACGGGGAGGCAUCUUUCUGUUACCAAAGGAGCAAUCCGGUGCAAGAUGAGCUCGCGUCCGAUUAGAUAGUUGGCGGGGCAACGGCCCACCAAGUCAACGAUCGGUAGCCGGACUGAGAGGUUGACCGGCCACAUUGGGACUGAGACACGGCCCAGACUCCUACGGGAGGCAGCAGUGGGGAAUAUUGGGCAAUGGGCGAAAGCCCUGACCCAGCAACGCCGCGUGAAGGAUGAAGGUUUUCGGAUUGUAAACUUCUUUGACUGAGGACGACAAAAGGACGGUACUCAGAAAACAAGCCACGGCUAACUACGUGCCAGCCGCUGC